rnacentral:rRNA from 1 species
GACGAACGCUGGCGGCGUGCCUAAUACAUGCAAGUCGAGCGGACAGAAGGGAGCUUGCUCCCGGAAGUUAGCGGCGGACGGGUGAGUAACACGUGGGCAACCUACCCUGUAGAUCGGGUUAACAUCGAGAAAUCGGUGCUAAUACCGGAUAAUCAUUUGAAGUGCAUGCUUCGAAUGUAAAAGAUGGCUCCGGCUAUCACUACGGGAUGGGCCCGCGGCGCAUUAGCUAGUUGGUAAGGUAGUGGCUUACCAAGGCAACGAUGCGUAGCCGACCUGAGAGGGUGAGCGGCCACACUGGGACUGAGACACGGCCCAGACUCCUACGGGAGGCAGCAGUAGGGAAUCUUCCGCAAUGGACGAAAGUCUGACGGAGCAACGCCGCGUGAGUGAUGAAGGUUUUCGGAUCGUAAAGCUCUGUUGUUAGGGAAGAACAAGUGCCGUUUGAAUAAGGCGGCACCUUGACGGUACCUAACCAGAAAGCCACGGCUAACUACGUGCCAGCCGCCGCAGUAACAC